GACGAACCGUGCGAACGUUAUUCGGAAUCACUGGGCUUAAAGGGAGCGUAGGCGGGCUAUCAAGUCUGGGGUGAAAUCCCACGGCUCAACCGUGGAACUGCCUUAGAUACUGACGGCCUCGAGGGAGAUAGGGGCAUGCGGAACUGUAGGUGGAGCGGUGAAAUGCGCAGAUAUCAGGAAGAACACCCGUGGCGAAGGCGGCUCUCUGGGACGGUACUGACGCUGAGACGCGAAAGCGUGGGGAGCGAACAGG
rnacentral:rRNA from 1 species